GAGUAAUGCGUGACCAACCUGCCCCAUGCUCCAGAAUAGCUCUUGGAAACGGGUGGUAAUGCUGGAUGCUCCAACUUGACGCAUGUCUUGUUGGGAAAGUGUUUAGUGGCAUGGGAUGGGGUCGCGUCCUAUCAGCUUGUAGGCGGGGUAAUGGCCCACCUAGGCUUCGACGGGUAGCCGGCCUGAGAGGGCGGACGGCCACAUUGGGACUGAGACACGGCCCAGACUCCUACGGGAGGCAGCAGUC
rnacentral:rRNA from 1 species